UGAAAAUGGUGUGCGUCCAAUCAAACGGGUCCGUCUUUACUUUAGCAUGUAAUCUGUCAUCAGAAUGAAAUAGUUUUUGCAGGUGAGUCACUGUUCAGUCCAGAAACAGGUACUUUCAUAUGCGUUGUUGACAUUGACUGCAGGCAGGUGGAUUCAGGAUGUCAAUAGACAAACAGAUAACUCAUUUCAUUGUUUUUAACGAUGUUUUAGACAAAAGUGUACACCCUUUACACAACAAAGACAUCUCCCGGCCUGACUCAUUGAGCUCAGACUCCACACGGUGAAUGACAUUCGCAGCCCACCGGAGGCGGGAGACACAGACCGCGAGGACGACGGCUGCCCACACAAAGCAACCCCCCGCAGUCAGGGUGGUGUUUGCAGUCCUCGGAUUUCUCAGUCAGGUUCGCCGAAGUGGCCCGUUUUGGUGACUCAAUACUUUUGCCACUAGCCCGGAGUGGUACAGCACACCAGUGGAAGUCCUGAGAACACGCCAUGUGACACGGAAAGGCUGCAGGACGUAGAUGUCGUUAACUACCAGGCGGCUGCAGAGCUGCAUCCCUCUGCACAGAUCAGGUCCGACCAGAGGUUCUCCAUGGCCAUGCUGACCCUACACAGGAUCCAGCGGCGCAGUGGGCAGUAAUACUCGUAGUGGAACUGCUCAAAUUCCGGCGUUUGGCGG